CAACCCUCAAGCGCUGUAGUGCUUGGUGUUGGGGCUUCUGCUGGUGACAGCAGGCCCUGAAAGCUAGUGGCGGGCUCGCCGUGACCCUGAGCGUAGUAGCUUACAUCGCUUCUGCGGCUCGCGGCGGGUUCCCAGCCGUGAAAACCCCCUAAUUUUCACAA
rnacentral:misc_RNA from 1 species